GCCGGGGUGCUACCGACGCUCAUGCUCGAAGGCGCGGGUAUCAAACAGGAUUAGAUACCCUGGUAGUCCGCGCAGUAAACGAUGGAUGCCCGCGGUGCGGCCUAUAUGGUUACGCCGCCAAGCGAAAGCGUUAAGCAUCCCACCUGGGGAGUACGCCGGCAACGGUGAAACUCAAAGGAAUUGACGGGGGCCCGCACAAGCGGAGGAACAUGUGGUUUAAUUCGAUGAUACGCGAGGAACCUUACCCGGGCUUGAAAUGCGACUGACGGCGGGCAGAGACGCCCGCCUCCUUCGGGCAGUCGUGUAGGUGCUGCAUGGUUGUCGUCAGCUCGUGCCGUGAGGUGUCGGCUCAAGUGCCAUAACGAGCGCAACCCCUGUCAGCAGUUGCGAGCGGGUCAAGCCGCGCACUCUGCUGAUACUGCCGCCGCAAGGCGUGAGGAAGGUGGGGAUGACGUCAAAUCAGCACGGCCCUUACGUCCGGGGCCACACACGUGUUACAAUGGGGGGCACAGCAAGCUGGAUCGCGGCGACGCGUUCCGAAUCCUGAAAUCCCCUCCCAGUUCGGACUGGAGUCUGCAACCCGACUCCACGAAGCUGGAU
rnacentral:rRNA from 1 species